AUUGAACGCUGGCGGCAGGCCUAACACAUGCAAGUCGAGCGGAUGAAGGGAGCUUGCUCCUGGAUUCAGCGGCGGACGGGUGAGUAAUGCCUAGGAAUCUGCCUGGUAGUGGGGGAUAACGUCCGGAAACGGGCGCUAAUACCGCAUACGUCCUGAGGGAGAAAGUGGGGGAUCUUCGGACCUCACGCUAUCAGAUGAGCCUAGGUCGGAUUAGCUAGUUGGUGGGGUAAAGGCCUACCAAGGCGACGAUCCGUAACUGGUCUGAGAGGAUGAUCAGUCACAAUGGAACUGAGACACGGUCCAGACUCCUACGGGAGGCAGCAGUGGGGAAUAUUGGACAAUGGGCGAAAGCCUGAUCCAGCCAUGCCGCGUGUGUGAAGAAGGUCUUCGGAUUGUAAAGCACUUUAAGUUGGGAGGAAGGGCAGUAAGUUAAAACCUUGCUGUUUUGACGUUACCAACAGAAUAAGCACCGGCUAACUUCGUG
rnacentral:rRNA from 1 species